rnacentral:lncRNA from 1 species
UUAACAAAAUAUUUUAAGGGUCUGAAAGUUUCUCACAGCAAAGCAAUCAAACAUGUGCUAAGCAGAACUUACAAGCCGAUGCCAACCGUUAGGGCAAUUAGGACCUUGAGACAAAGGACUGAGUAUUGAAUAGAAGUGCACAUGUGCCAAAUCCCAAAUGGACCCCGACAACGAUACUUAGAACAAUUGAGAAUGUGUACAAAAAGACUAAUAAAUCUAUCUCGUAACAAAUAAACGAAUACGUGAAACAGGACCUUAAGAACAGGGUGGAAGAGCGUCCAGUAAGGUGACGAGCUCUACAGGGUUGCGCGGAUGGCGGGGCGCAACCUCUUCCCCUCCGGGGGAAGCCUGCGG